rnacentral:ncRNA from 2 species
AUUGCCAUAACUCCGAGCUCGUUAGGCUAAGUUCAAUCGAAUAAGCGUGGUGAGCCAGUGACAGGUCGUCACAAGGGCAUAGUUGGAAAUGAUUAUGCCUCCCGUGUUUGGAAAGGUGUUCCGUGGCGCAACAA